GAAAACGAGAUCGCAGCCUACGCCCUACCUACAACAGUCGAUCGAGAAGACGGAAUCGGGAGCGUCUCCAUCUCGAAACCGUCCAUAACUGCAGUCGCGUCGGUGUCGGGCCGUCGGCGAGCGGGCGAUCACGCUACACCAAACCAAACCCUGUAGUCGCGUCGGGCCGUCGGGCGUCGGCGAUCGGAGCGUCCGGGCGAUCAGCCGAUCACGCAACACCAAACCGAACCCUGCAGGAAACCGAUUGCCUUCGGCUCAUCGGACCUAUCGGAUUCAGGCUGCUGCCAUUGUCGCCUUCUUGUUCGUUUCCUUUCCCAAAUUUCAGACUCGUCGGAUCGAUUCGUAACCGACUCGAGCCUCCACCCCCCAGAUCGGUUCUUCCCUCCUCAGUCAAAGAUCACACUCAAAGUGCAGUAGUUCAACUGGACAGGACCCAAAACUAGGGCGAUGAGUACGAACCUGCUCCUGGUAAGGUGACCAGACGCGGCAAGCUUGAUAAUUACAGUUUUUGGACUCAUGGCAACUUUGUGGCUCGUCGGAAGCACUCUGGCUGCUUCUCCUUCCUGCCCGCUCUGCGAACUCUCUUCUUUUUUGAGCUCAUUGAUAGAGAUGAACCAGUUACUGGAGCCUACAUUUUCCUUGGAAUCCCUCUUGGGCGGGGCACCCGACGUAAUGGUGAAUUGGACUAUGUUUGCAAGACAUGCUAUCGUCAGUUUCAUGUCCCACUUGCUGGUCUGACGAGGAAAUGUGGAUGUGAAGAUAGCAAGGUGGAGAGGGUAUGUAAAAUGUGCUAUCUUGACGCCGAUGUGUUGCAUGCCUUCCUAGGAGGAUUCCGUUUUGGCCAUCACCAAGAGAGCUUUGUAAAGCGUUACUGCUCCUACUACUGAGCAGUGAGCCCUGCUUCAGUCACUCUGAUAGGAAACAGACUUGUUGAUGAUGCUUUAGUUAGAUUUUGUCGGUGGCAUACCUUUUCGAAUGACCUAUGUAAUUUAUAGUGCCUGGUCAUCAUUGCUAGUGUAAAUAAACUUGUAAGUAUGGACGGACCAUUGUACUAGUCCAAUAUCUGUGCUUGAGUAUACAAUCGUUUGGAUGCUACGACUG